rnacentral:rRNA from 1 species
UACGUAGGGGGCGAGCGUUGUCCGGAUUUAUUGGGCGUAAAGAGCUCGUAGGCGGUUUGGUAAGUCGGGUGUGAAAUCUCCACGCUCAACGUGGAGGGGCCACUCGAUACUGCCAUGACUCGAGUCCGGUAGAGGAGUGUGGAAUUCCUGGUGUAGCGGUGAAAUGCGCAGAUAUCAGGAGGAACACCAGCGGCGAGGGCGGCGCUCUGGGCCGGUACUGACGCUGAGAAGCGAAAGCGUGGGUAGCAAACAGG